CAGCCGCCGCGGGAAAACGUAGGGCGCAAGCGUUAUCCGGAAUUAUUGGGCGUAAAGAGCUCGUAGGCGGUUUGUCGCGUCUGCCGUGAAAGUCCGGGGCUCAACCCCGGAUCUGCGGUGGGUACGGGCAGACUAGAGUGAUGUAGGGGAGACUGGAAUUCCUGGUGUAGCGGUGAAAUGCGCAGAUAUCAGGAGGAACACCGAUGGCGAAGGCAGGUCUCUGGGCAUUAACUGACGCUGAGGAGCGAAAGCAUGGGGAGCGAACAGGAUUAGAUACCCCAGUAGUCCCUGUCUCUUAUAC
rnacentral:rRNA from 1 species